rnacentral:rRNA from 1 species
GAUGAACGCUGGCGGCGUGCCUAAUACAUGCAAGUCGAGCGAACAGGCGAGGAGCUUGCUCCUCUGACGUUAGCGGCGGACGGGUGAGUAACACGUGGAUAACCUACCUAUAGGACUGGGAUAACUUCGGGAAACCGGAGCUAAUACCGGAUAAUAUAUUGAACCGCAUGGUUCAAUAGUGAAAGACGGUUUUGCUGUCACUUAUAGAUGGAUCCGCGCCGCAUUAGCUAGUUGGUAAGGUAACGGCUUACCAAGGCAACGAUGCGUAGCCGACCUGAGAGGGUGAUCGGCCACACUGGAACUGAGACACGGUCCAGACUCCUACGGGAGGCAGCAGUAGGGAAUCUUCCGCAAUGGGCGAAAGCUUGACGGAGCAACGCCGCGUGAGUGAUGAAGGUCUUCGGAUCGUAAAACUCUGUUAUUAGGGAAGAACAAAUGUGUAAGUAACUAUGCACGUCUUGACGGUACCUAAUCAGAAAGCCACGGCUAACUACGUG